rnacentral:tRNA from 2 species
GCGCCCAUAGUUCAAUGGAUAGAACGUCGGGUUGCGGACCCGAAGGUUGCCAGUUCAAGUCUGGCUGGGCGCA